AAAAAGAAGAAGGGAUUCUUUUUUGACGAACUGCGACGAUCGUCACUGGCCCACCGUUACCCCCGAUCAAGGCUGCCGCGGCGAAAUCGGAGUGCACACCCUGAGACCACCGUCAAUCAAUCGUAGAACUCUCGUCUUCACGGUAUUGAACUCUUUUUUGUUAGUUUUCUGCUAAAUUUAUGUUCUAAAUUUCAGUAUCUACUGGAUUGCAUAUGAUUGCAUUCACAUGAUGCAUGUUUAAUGAAAUUAUACACGUUAGUGUGUUUUGAUGCUACUUCUGGUUUGUUAAUUUCAGGUGACUUGAUUAAAAACUAAUCAAUUCAAUCAAACUGUUUCAUCUUUUCAAUUUAUACAAGGCAUUUGAUACUUCUAUAUAGAGUUAAUUACACCAUCACCCUCUGUGGUAGAGGUCUAAAACACUAUCACUUCUCUAUGCAAGAAAACCGGUCAAAGUGACUGGCGCCACUUUCUACCAUGUGUGUCAAACUCUCGUAUGUGGUGAGUGAAAUAAUGAAAAGAAGUGUGGAAAACUUGCGCCAUAUCUCCAACGUUUGUUCCUACUGUUUAGGAUAAGGAGAUUAUCUAUGCCAAAAAAAUCAUCCCUUUCACAGAUUACCAGAAAAUCAUCACUCUAAUCUAAAAUACAGAAAAGUCAUUUUAAUCGAAACUAAUAUUUUACACCACAUAUAUAAAUAUGUUCUCCAAAUUAUGACCAAAGAACCCCCCAAAACAAAUAUUGAGAGAAGAAAAAGAAGAGAAAUAUUUGCUCCCCAGCUUUAUAUCUGUGGCUGCUUCUGCAUGUUAUUAGAGGUAUUUCUCAGAAUCUCUCAUUCGCUAGAGAUCAUCAUCUUCAUAUGAGGAACUGGUACAUCUCACUCUUGCAUGCACCUCCUAAUUUUAGACAUGCGAUCUAGGAAAAAUUUAAAAAGCCCUAAUUUUAAAUUAUGCAAAAAAUUGAAGAAAUCUAAUAUUUUAUACAUAUAGUUAAGCAAUAUAUUGAAAAUGCCCUAGUUUUCUUCUUCACCUCAAAAUACCACUUUUCUUAUCUAGAAAUUCCUACAAAAUUGUUGUUGUAAUUUAACAUGACGCGUGUUGAAGACAUGCAUCUUCAAAUUUUUUCAACAAAGAGACUGAGAGAUGAGUCAUGAGAAGAACUAAAGACCAAGUAAUCGAUCACGACGAGAUUUGAGUUCAGAAAAUUGAGUGAGACGUGAGAGGGAAAAUUGAGCGAAAGAUGAGAGAGAAUCAAGCAAGAGAUCUGAUUUUCUGUAACUAAUCUUUUUUUGUUUUUUGAAUCUCACAUGCACAUUAAAAGAAGUUGCUUAAAAAUGGUAAAAAAUGGACCGGUCACUUUUGAGUUUUUACUACAGGGGCCAUUAAUGACCAACUUUUUAACACAAGGGGUGAUAGUGUUUUACACCUCUACCAUAGGGAGUGAUGGUGUAUUUAUCCCUUUUGUAUACUAUUGGAAGAUUGGAAAGUUACAAAUAAAUAUAGAAUAUAAGUUAAAUUAAAAAAGAAAAAGCACACUGUAGUUUGUAGUGAACUUAUUCUAGGAUGGACUUAUUAAUGGAUCGAAUGUAACUUCUUAACCAUGAAUCUCAUUCUUUAGAAGAAAUAUUACUAUUAUUGACGGUGCUACCUUCGGGAGUUCUGAUCACGGGUGUAUGUGUUAGGUCCGAUCUACAGGAUGAAGACAACCGAAUUAUCCUUGACGUUUUGUGCCGCCGGAGGAUAGCUUCGGUGAGAGAAUUAGUAUCGAACUUGAGGAAAUAUGUCAACAAUGGAGGUAUGAAUGUUUAAAUAUUGAAUAUAGUGUGUGAAUUUUGGUCAUUUUAUUGGUUGAGAUCCCCAUUCACAUGUAAAGUGUAUCUUUUACUUGAGGGUGAAGUAACUCAGCUCAUCUAAUUGAUUUCUGGUGAGUGGAGAGUGCUCAUGCUUUCAUCAUUGAACUUUUAGGACCACUGAGCACUUCGGACCAGUCCAGGUAUUUCAGUUCGGGUCAUUGGCCAUGUUGGAUCAUACCCGUGAGCCUGUGGGUUUAUAAGGUGUCUUUAGAGAAAGAGUGAUGGUGUUAUUCUUGCCGCUAGCUUUUCGGUUUCCACUUGAUGAAAUUGGUCAUGAUCCCAAGGACUAUGAGCACAUAAGAAUCAUGUGGAACCUCGAAACCUACUUACCUUAAAAUAAGGUUCAGUUGUACUAGUACUCUACACA
rnacentral:lncRNA from 1 species